UCCUAGGAUGCUCUAGUGUGCUUUGUGAG
rnacentral:piRNA from 1 species